AUGCAAGAAGCCGUAGAUCAGUCUAGAGAAACAGGUAUAGAGAACCCAAAGAGAGAAACAACAGCAAGCCAAGAACCAAGUCUGAAGAGACCGCAGAGGCCUCUAGAGAGAGAGAGAGACAGCCAGAGCGCCAAGGGAACAGAAGACCAGAAGAUGCUCUGCCCAGCCCAGGCCUGUGAGAAGAUCCAGGAGACGGAGAACCACCCACUUUGGGUAUUGGCCAACACUCCGUCUUCCCUAGCCACAGUCGCUCUUGCCACCCCUUGGAAGCUGGCGGCCUCCAGUUACACUGCCCAGGAGUUUGGAAAUUGCCUGUCUCUGCUAGUCUGAAUCCCACCUGCCUUCUAGCUCACUGAGCUGGUUGCUCCCUGUGAAUGUCGGCUGCCAGCCGGGCAGUCAGGAUGCAUAGGAACUUGAAGAGAGGGCAGCGGCUUCCCGGAUCAGAGCCUCCGCCCAGACUUCCAGCCAAGGCCCCAGAACUCCCAGGACCUGGAGGGUUUUUUCUCCUGGUUGUGUUUGGAAUUGGCUGGUUUUUCUGGGCAUCAGGCCCAGCUCAGUUUAAUUUUUGUUUAUUUUUAUGUACAGAUUCUCUUCUGUUUGGGGAAGAGCUUUGUGUAAAUUAUUAUUAUUUAUAUGAUAAAGAAUAAAUCACACCAAAUAAAAAAACCCACAAUCUCUUUUCUCAAUAGAAUUACUAAAUUAGGGACUGAAAAGAACAGCCGAUAUGCUGGGGUUUGGUUUCAGAAAGCUUUGGACACGGAUUCUCACAAAGUGUCUCAGUCACUGGGCUCUGUCAUCUGUAUUUGAUGCCUUUUGGACAGUCAGCAAUGGCACAUGGGCUAGGCUAGGAAGACUACAGAGUGGCAGGACCUAAGGGUGUGGGUUUCCUGAUCUGCUGUACUCCCAUCCCCUGGGAGCUGGCUUGAGC
rnacentral:lncRNA from 1 species